rnacentral:rRNA from 1 species
UACAGGGGGGGCAAGCGUUGUUCGGAAUUACUGGGCGUAAAGGGCUCGUAGGCGGCCAAUUAAGUCAGACGUGAAAUCCCCAGGCUUAACCUGGGAACUGCGUGUGAUACUGGAUGGCUUGAAUCCGGGAGAGGGAUGCAGAAUUCCAGGUGUAGCGGUGAAAUGCGUAGAUAUCUGGAGGAAUACCGGUGGCGAAGGCGGCAUCCUGGACCGGCAUUGACGCUGAUGAGCGAAAGCUAGGGGAGCAAACGGG